CCCUCCCUCUGGCGGCAGGCCUAACACAUGCAAGUCGAGCGAGGACUUCGGUUCUAGCGGCGGACGGGUGAGUAACGCGUGGGAAUGUGCCCUUCUCUACGGAAUAGCCCUGGGAAACUGGGAGUAAUACCGUAUACGCCCUAUUGGGGAAAGAUUUAUCGGAGAAGGAUCAGCCCGCGUUGGAUUAGGUAGUUGGUGGGGUAAUGGCCUACCAAGCCGACGAUCCAUAGCUGGUUUGAGAGGAUGAUCAGCCACACUGGGACUGAGACACGGCCCAGACUCCUACGGGAGGCAGCAGUGGGGAAUCUUAGACAAUGGGGGCAACCCUGAUCUAGCCAUGCCGCGUGAGUGAUGAAGGCCUUAGGGUUGUAAAGCUCUUUCAGCUGGGAAGAUAAUGACGGUACCAGCAGAAGAAGCCCCGGCUAACUCCGUG
rnacentral:rRNA from 1 species